AAUCUAUGUGUACCUGCCCAGUGAUUCUUAAUCAUAACCAUAAAAAAGUUAAAAUAGAAUUAAAAGGACGCGGUAACCUUGACCGUGAUAAUGUAGCAUAAUCACUCGCCAUUUAAUUGGUGGAUAGUAUGAAUGGUUGAACGAAUAUCCCACUGUCUUAAAGAAAACUAAAAGAAAUUGAAAUAAUAGUUAAGAUGCUAUUUUUAACUGUAAGACGAAAAGACCCUAUAGAGCUUAACUAUAAUCUCUAUAUAAUAUAUUAAAUAAUAAUUUAUAAAUUAUAGAGAUUGGUAGUUUAGUUGGGGCGACUAUCUUUUAAAUAUAACAAAGAUAAGCAAAAUUAAUAACUAAUUUAUUGUAUAAUUAAUUUAUUUAACAAUUAUGAUAAUAGGCUAUAAUGACCCGUUAAUACUUUAUAAAAAGACUAACGAUCAAUUGAUAAAAGCUACCUUAGGGAUAACAGGAUAAUUUCAUUUUAGAGUCCCUAUCGAAAAUGAAGUUUGUCACCUCGAUGUGGAAUU
rnacentral:rRNA from 1 species